AGAGUUUGAUCAUGGCUCAGAACGAACGCUGCGGCAUGCCUAACACAUGCAAGUCGAACGAUGCCUUCGGGCAUAGUGGCGCACGGGUGCGUAACGCGUGGGAAUCUGCCUUGGGUUCGGAAUAACUCAGAGAAAUUUGAGCUAAUACCGGAUGAUGACGUAAGUCCAAAGAUUUAUCGCCCAAGGAUGAGCCCGCGUAAGAUUAGCUAGUUGGUGGGGUAAAGGCCUACCAAGGCGACGAUCUUUAGCUGGUCUGAGAGGAUGAUCAGCCACACUGGGACUGAGACACGGCCCAGACUCCUACGGGAGGCAGCAGUGGGGAAUAUUGGACAAUGGGCGAAAGCCUGAUCCAGCAAUGCCGCGUGAGUGAUGAAGGCCUUAGGGUUGUAAAGCUCUUUUACCAGGGAUGAUAAUGACAGUACCUGGAGAAUAAGCUCCGGCUAACUCCGUG
rnacentral:rRNA from 1 species